rnacentral:rRNA from 1 species
CCUACGGGGGGCUGCAGUGGGGAAUAUUGGGCAAUGGGCGCAAGCCUGACCCAGCAACGCCGCGUGAAGGAAGAAGGCUUUCGGGUUGUAAACUUCUUUUCUCAGGGACGAAGCAAGUGACGGUACCUGAGGAAUAAGCCACGGCUAACUACGUGCCAGCAGCCGCGGUAAUCCGUAGGUGGCAAGCGUUAUACGGAUUUACUGGGUGUAAAGGGCGUGUAGGCGGGAAAGCAAGUCAGAUGUGAAAACCAUGGGCUCAACCUGUGGCCUGCAUUUGAAACUGUCUUGCUUGAGUACUGGAGAGGCAGACGGAAUUCCUAGUGUAGCGGUGAAAUGCUUAGAUAUUAGGAAGAACCCCAGUGGCGAAGGCAGUCUGCUGGACAGCAACUGACGCUGAGGCGCGAAAGCGUGGGGAGCAAACAGGAUUAGAUACCCGUGUAGUC